rnacentral:rRNA from 1 species
UACGUAGGGUGCAAGCGUUGUCCGGAAUUAUUGGGCGUAAAGGGCGCGUAGGCGGCUAGAUGUGUCAAAGGUGAAAUCCCUCGGCUCAACUGAGGAACUGCCUUUGAAACUGUCUGGCUUGAGGCCGGGAGAGGGUAGCGGAAUUCCCAGUGUAGCGGUGAAAUGCGUAGAUAUUGGGAGGAACACCAGUGGCGAAGGCGGCUACCUGGACCGGUACUGACGCUGAGGCGCGAAAGCGUGGGUAGCAAACAGG